rnacentral:rRNA from 1 species
UACGUAGGGUGCAAGCGUUAAUCGGAAUUACUGGGCGUAAAGCGUGCGCAGGCGGUUUUGUAAGUCUGUCGUGAAAGCCCCGGGCUCAACCUGGGAAUUGCGAUGGAGACUGCAAGGCUUGAAUCUGGCAGAGGGGGGUAGAAUUCCACGUGUAGCAGUGAAAUGCGUAGAUAUCUGGAGGAAUACCGGUGGCGAAGGCGGCAUCCUGGACCAUAACUGACGCUGAGGCGCGAAAGCUAGGGGAGCAAACGGGG